AUGGUCUUAGCUUGCUAAGGCUGAUGGCGACCGGCGCACGGGUGAGUAACACGUAUCCAACCUGCCGUCUACUCUUGGCCAGCCUUCUGAAAGGAAGAUUAAUCCAGGAUGGGAUCAUGAGUUCACAUGUCCGCAUGAUUAAAGGUAUUUUCCGGUAGACGAUGGGGAUGCGUUCCAUUAGAUAGUAGGCGGGGUAACGGCCCACCUAGUCAACGAUGGAUAGGGGUUCUGAGAGGAAGGUCCCCCACAUUGGAACUGAGACACGGUCCAAACUCCUACGGGAGGCAGCAGUGAGGAAUAUUGGUCAAUGGGCGAUGGCCUGAACCAGCCAAGUAGCGUGAAGGAUGACUGCCCUAUGGGUUGUAAACUUCUUUUAUAAAGGAAUAAAGUCGGGUAUGCAUACCCGUUUGCAUGUACUUUAUGAAUAAGGAUCGGCUAACUCCGCGCCAGCAGCCGCGGUAAUACGGAGGAUCCGAGCGUUAUCCGGAUUUAUUGGGUUUAAAGGGAGCGUAGAUGGAUGUUUAAGUCAGUUGUGAAAGUUUGCGGCUCAACCGUAAAAUUGCAGUUGAUACUGGAUGUCUUGAGUGCAGUUGAGGCAGGCGGAAUUCGUGGUGUAGCGGUGAAAUGCUUAGAUAUCACGAAGAACUCCGAUUGCGAAGGCAGCCUGCUAAGCUGCAACUGACAUUGAGGCUCGAAAGUGUGGGUAUCAAACAGG
rnacentral:rRNA from 1 species